CCAAACAGCGGAACAUUGUUCUUCUUCUCCAACAAGCCGAAUCCGUUCCCAAAACUCGCCAAAAUUCAGGCGAGUGAAACCCAAACUCGCACCACGCGUUUUACCUUCUCUCCUCUUGCCAUAGCGUAACCGUUUCUGACAGAUUUCCUCUCCUUCACAUGCUCUAUUUGAUUUAUUUCGGAUUUUUCACCCUUCAGAUGGAAAUGAGGAAAAAUGGGGAGCGUCAGAUCAAAUUCGAGUUGAUCUACUCCCUCCAUUUGUCCCUUUUUCAUCAGAAAAAGGGUGAAAAUCAGUUUGGGGAGAGUAUUUCUUGGCUCGGAAGAUUUCUUGAAAAGGGGAGUAGAAGCUUCGAGAUCUUUGGGAAGUCUAUAUAAGGUGAAGACCUUUUCUUGUGUAGAGGGUUUUUUUUUUCAGAGAUGGAGGGAAUUUUAGAGAGCAGUUUCUGGAGAAAUUGAGAGGGGAAAAACUAGGGUUCUAAAAUAUUCUUCUUCUUCUUUUCUAUUGUGGCUCUCCAUUUUUAGUCUCAGAUCAGAAAAAUACAAAAAUUUACUAAAAUAUGUGUUAUUUUUAGUUUGACAUUCACAUCUCUGUUUUCUGCAUCUUUAAUACGGAGGCUUCACUGUUGCUAUGGAACUGGGUUGAGUUUGGAAGUCGGAGCUGAUUCGAGUACAUCAGACUUGUUGUUAAGGCUCAGAUUUCAUUAGUUGAUUUUCAUUUCAAGCUUGUUGAUUAGCUUGCUACUGUUGUAUCUCAUUCAAACUUCAAGAAACAGUUGAUAAUUUUUUCUCAGGUGAGUUGCUUUUAUGAUUGAAACAAUUAUUUGCAACGAUUCAUGUUUAUGUCGCUAAUUAAGGAAUGAUUGUUUGUAAUGUGACCGUAUAAGUUCAAGGAUCUUCUCGUUUGUAGCAAUCAUUCCAUUUUGAGCUAAGACUCGGACAGAAUGACAUUUUGUUUUUCACUUUUCUUGUUCUAGUUUUCUUAACGGGGUCAUGUCAAAUGGAAGACUAAAACCUCUGUCAAAGUUAUUUUUUCCUUAGUCAAGUUGUUUUGAUAGUUCUAACAUGAGUUGCAUUUAUUUGACUGUUAAUUUCAUGGAUUUAGGUCUCACCUCACAGUUCUACUUUUCCUUGCUCUUUUCUUUUUCCUUUUCUCAUAUAAAUGGUCCAAUUUAUUUGUCCAUCUUGCUCUAACUAUUGUUCUGUAAGUGAGUAUUUUCGUGGUUGUUUGUGUGGUAGUAGUAAUUGCUAAAGGAUAGAACAGCAGACAUAGGCAAAGAGAAGGAGUUGUUUUCUCUGUUUUUUUUAACGAGGUUUUGGACUCCUUGAAUGAGAAGUCGAAUUUGCCAUGUUAGUCCUGAUUACAAUGCCAUGCCUAUAUAUUUUGUCUCUUAGGAAAUUUGUGUGAAAGGCAAUGUAUUCUCAUGUGGCUUAGUAAAUUCAAAUUGAUUUCCAUGUUGUUCAUCGGCACUGUUUGCCAUUUGUAUUGUCCCUUUUUUCCUUUAAUUCAUCGACUGCAUUUUCAAGAAUUGCUAGUUUGUUAACUAGUCAUGGGAAUUUUGAGCUUUGGUUUUUGGCUGACCGUAUAUUCGGAUUUAAGGGAAUUAAGAAGGCUAUGUUCGUAUUUUGUCCUUGCAGUAUGAAAUCACUGCAUCAUCUUCUGGCUUGAAACAUGUGAUCCAUGAACUUAUUGUUCUUUUAGAAUCUCUGUUUGAAUUCUGACUUGGAUUGUAUAAGAGUAGAAUGCACGGUGACGUUUUCGUUUUUGGUAAAUAAUGGAUCUUGAGUAAAGACAUUAAAGUUUUUUUUUUUUGGGAUAUAAGUGCAUAUUUUCUUUAUGAAUUUCCUAAUUGCUUCCUUCCUUUAGCUAGUUAGUUAGCUACAUGGCGUGGUUGGCUUCCUUGAAACUGAAAGGGAAUUUCAAGAAUUAUCCUGCAAUCAUCAAAGGGCAUGGGCGGAACAAGUUAAUUUGUCAGGCCCAAUGAUCUCAAUGAGUAGAUCAAGAAUUGGCCUGCUCAUCCUUAACAACUAAAUGCCUCAUAAUUUUAAAGAUAGAGUAGUGAGAUACAAACACCUUUAACAUGUGGAUAAUUUGUCACUACCCUAACUAGGGCUGUGCAUUUGGAUCGGAUAUCCGAAAUCCGAUCCGACAUACUCUAUUUCGGAUUUUCGGAUUGGAUACGGAUUAUGUUUUAUAAAAUUUCGGAUUUUCGGAUUGGAUUCAGAUUGGCAUGAUUUUAAUCCGAUCCGAAAUCCGAAAUUAUAUGGGCCUAUAUAUAAAUAGUUAAAUUCUUUAGGGUUAAAUAACUUAACCCGGUUAAGUUAGUAUACUAUACUAAUAGUACUAUACUACCCUAAAUACUAUUCCUAUUUCCUACCCUAAAUCUUCUUUUCCGCCUUUUUCACUUAGGAGUUAGGGCUGUUCGUUCACCACUAAGUCCGCCUCUCUUCUUCAGAGUUCAUAGUGACCAGUCCAGGGUUCCGCCUCUCUUCUUCAGUGUUCAUACUGUUCCGCGGUUCCGCCUCUCUUCUUCAGAGUUCAGUCGCCUUAGCUUCCGCGGUUCCGCCUCUCUUCUUCUUCACUCUUUAUCUCAGUGACUCAGUAGUCAGUCCUCUCGGUCUCGAAGUCUCAACUAUCAAGCCAGUAAAGUAAUCUUCUUCUUCACUAUUAGUUACUAUUGUUUCAUAGUUCAUACUGUUUUUUCAAUUUUUAUGUAUGUAUCGAUUUGUCUUUAUGUUCUGUUUUUUAUCUCUUUCAUUUUCUAUUCUGAUUUUAUUACAACAUCUAUUUCUGAUUUUAUUUAGGUUUUUUUCUAUUACAACAUCUAUUUCUGAUUUUAUUUAGGUUUUUUUGUUUGUUUUGGACCUUUGGUAGAUGGAAAACGAAACAGAGACAGUGAAUGAACCUUUGGUACAACAUCUAUUUCUGACUGUUGCGGCUUCCCAAAACAUGGAACUUGGAACUCUUUUGUUAUGUGUAAUAUUUUAAAGAACUGUUGGGACUUUAGUAGUUUGGUUUGUUUUAUUUUGCUAUGAAAAUUUGGUUUGAAAGACAAUUGAUUGUGUUUUGUUUUGGGGUCUUCAGUUUGGUUUACUGUCCAGUUGUGUAAAUUUCAGAUUGUUGUUUUGUUUUGUUAAGUUCGAACAUUGUUACUAGGACUGUGCAUUUUUGAACUUAGUUGCAUUAUUAAUUUUUAUGAGUACUUAGUUCAGUCAGUACUCAGUUGUGUACUGUAAAG
rnacentral:lncRNA from 1 species